GGCCAUAUAGCUCAGUCAGUAGAGCAUGAGACUCUUAAAUCUCAAGGUUGUGGGUUCAACCCCCACGUUGGGCA